AGUUGUUAUUAAACAUGACAGCUAACACGCCAGCUCCUAAUCUCGUAAAACGCGAGAAAGGAAGAAGAUAUAGUCCAUACAAUUAGUAAUAAUUGAAGCAUAUACGAUGUCGGCUCGCCCUAUCCUGGGACUGAAGAAGGCCCCAAGGGUUUGGCUGUUCGCCAAUUAAAAGGGUACGCGAGCUGGGUUCAAACCGUCGACCGAAAGGUUAAGGCGGCUAUGCUGAGAAAUCAGCAUCAGCAAAAUCGACUCAUAUCGGAAAAAUCCUAAUCUCGCUGUUGCGAGAGCGUAGAAAUACGCCUAUUAUCCUACCUGGAUUUUUAGGACAAUUCCGAGGGAAGAACGAAAAAUCAUUUUGCGAUCUCGUUCCCCGUAGAGACUUAAUUCUUAAAUGAAUUAGGCGUUGUGAUUUUUUACAACGCAAUAUGUCGGUCUUCCACAUUCGUGGAAGGUGGUAUAGUCCAUACUCGUAGUAAUACGAGACGAUUAGUGAAAACUAAUUUAUGCGUGAGACAGGUUGGUCCAUAUCUGGUGUGGGCGUUGAUACUUGAGAGGGUUUGUCCUUAGUAAAGUAUUGCUACUUCAUGGAGUAAUCCAUGAUGACAAUUCGGCUAAUAACGGUGGAGGCUCUUGUUUGCUAUGCAAUUCGGUCCGAAAAGCAUAGAUCAAAACUGGCAAGAGUUAAUACCGUGGGAAGUUAUUUAUAAAAAAGACACAGUUUUUACUGUGUCUGUCUGAGAAUUGGAUCGAGAACUGGAUAAUUCUUUAAGAAACAUUUCUUAAAUGAUUCCUGUCUUGAAGGUAGCCAUUGAACUAAUGUAAGAAGUAGUGACAAUGGCGGGGAUAAAAUUAGAAGAUAGAACACUAUUACCAUAAAAAUGGUUGAAAGUAUUUGAAAUAAUACAAUAGCAAGAUUUGGAAAAAUAGCGCAAAACAAGACGAAAACAAUGAAUUUCUUCAUUCUCCCUCACUCCAAUUAAAAGAACCUUGUAAUCAUUAAAACACAUAAGUAAAUUAAUUGCAAGGGCGAUAUAAUUGACCCCGUAACGACUGGAGUCCCGCUAUCGCGGGAUGAAGAUGGAAGUUUUUUAACUUUCAUAAUAUGCCGAUCCCCAAUUCGCCAGUUGGCGGAGGGGAAAGAUAUAGUCUGCGCAUACAGUGAUGUAUGAAUGUGCGACGAGAGGACCGGGAUGAACGAACCUCUGGUCUGCCAGCUGUCCUGCCAAGGGCACCGCUGGGUAGCUAUGUUCGGUUCCGAUAAGCGCUGAAAGCAUAUAAGCGCGAAGCGGGCCUCAAGAUUAGGUAUCGUAGAUUCCUUGUAGACCACAAGGUUGAUAGGGCUCAGGUGUAAGCGCAGUGAUGCGUUGAGCCGAGAGCUACUAAUAAAUCAU
rnacentral:ncRNA from 1 species